AACGAACGCUGGCGGCAGGCCUAACACAUGCAAGUCGUGCGCGCCUUCGGGUGAGCGCGACGGUGAGUAACGCGUGGGAAUGUGCCCUUCUGUUGAGGAUAGCCCCGGGAAACUGGGAGUAAUACUCGAUACGCCCUACGGGGGAAGGAAGGAUCAGCCCGCGUCUGAUUAGGUAGUUGGUGGGGUAAUGGCCUACCAAGCCUACGAUCAGUAGCUGGUUUUUAGAGGAUGAUCAGCCACACUGGGACUGAGACACGGCCCAGACUCCUACGGGAGGCGGCAGUGGGGAAUCUUAGACAAUGGGGGCAACCCUGAUCUAGCCAUGCCGCGUGAGUGAUGAAGGCCUUAGGGUCGUAAAGCUCUUUCGCCAGGGAUGAUAAUGACAGUACCUGGUAAAGAAACCCCGGCUAACUCCGUG
rnacentral:rRNA from 1 species